rnacentral:misc_RNA from 1 species
GAACGCACAUUGCGCCCUUUGGUAUUCCGAAGGGCAUGCCUGUUCGAGCGUCAUUAUCACCCCUCAAGCCCUGUGCUUGGUGUUGGACGGCCGGUCGAGGUUCCCCUCGACCCCUCCUAAAGACAACGACGGCGGCCUGUGGUUCCCCCGGUACACUGAGCUUCUUACCGAGCACGUACCGGACGAGGGCACCCAGGACCCGGUCUUCUCCUCUCACGAGGAAAUAUUUUUCUAAGGUUGACCUCGGAUCAGGUAGGAAUACGCGCGGAACUUA